UAGUCAUAUUCCAAAACCCCAACCUCAAAUUCGUAACUUCCUCUCUUCUAAAGUGUGCCGCCUCCGUCUCUCUCUUCGAGCACAUUCAGAGUAAAGGAACCUCAAAUUUCAAUCUCCAUUAUCAUCGAUAUCAUGGCCCAUUUUGUGGCCCCAAUCGCAUAUCCAUUAUCACUCUUAGGUGGGAGGGAAUAAUUAUUGGAGAACCCAGAGAUAUAUUCAUAAAUUUGCUGGCUAAUUUGGCUCGUGGAGGAUAUCCUGCUACUUCUUCUUCUACAUCAAAUCAUUGAACAGGAAAAAAAUCAUAAUUAUCUUCUUGAGGAGAAGGGUCAUGUUACAAAUAUCAAUCCAAUUGGCAAUUCUCCAAUCAUAAUAAAAAUGGGCUUCCUGGAGAAAAUUGCACCUAUCUGGAUGAAUGUUUCUCUGAAAAUGAAAAAUGACCCAAAGACAGAAUACUUUUGGAUGGAUGCUAGAAAUCAUAUUCUCUUCAAGGACUUUAUGUUGCAGCCCCUAUCGAAUGUUGAAACUAGAAAGAAAUUUAUCCUCCAUUUUACUUAUGGAAGUGACUACAACAUGAAGGUAAACUUGUGUUUCUAUUUUCUUAUAGCAUUAUAAUUGAGAAGUUCAUAUAACGCUUGUGAACGCUGCUUUUCCAUUUUCUUUUUGUGAAUUAUUGAGAAUAGCGUACUUUCACUUUACCCUGUAAUAUUGACUAGUUUUGUAGAGAAAUUAUGAGGCUGUUGAUAUGCUCAGGAUGAACUAAAAUAUGGAAGAUUUGGAGAGUGGAGAUUCGAUAAGAGAUCAUAUCUUUGCUCCUAAAAAUCACUCCUUACCAAAUAUGCCAAUUUUUUUGUUACGAUUUUAUAAUUACUUUGAAGUAAGUAUUCCCUCCCACCUUCUAAGAAUUAUGAACGUUUGUCUAUUCAUAGUAAGAGGCCAAGAAGAGAUCUAUUAAGAGAAAGAUUUAUUCAAGAGAAAAUCUUAACAGUUACAUCCAGUCGACUCUGUGGAUUCUGUUUAUUCUUCUGAAUCUCGAUCCUUUUGUCAGGUGAAAUCAAAGGGCAUUACUUGAAUGUUACUGCAGGUACAUGCUAAGAAAUGAUCAGCAAUGGCCUCAAAGCUUCAGGGGAUUCAUCCAAAAUGAAUAAACCUGGCUGAUGGCUUGACAUGUACCCUCUCUUCCAGGUCCAUCACAAGAAAACGAAAACCAAGAUUUGCUAGUCUCAUUAGUUAAUAGUAGAGCUUAGCUGGACUAAGUGAGGGAAUACAAUGAGCCACAUUCGAGACCAGGGCAGGUGCUCCGCAACAGCAGUAGUAGUGAACAUUGCUACUGAAGAAGGGAUAGGCAGUAUAGUGGCAUGGGGCUUAAUCAAAGAAUGAAAAGUCUUUACAUUUUUUAAUAGAAAAUGCAUUUAGAUAUAUAUUGUUCAAUAAAUAUGUAAUUUUUCAUUCUUUAAAAGAUAUAAUGUGCUUGUGAUAAUUUUCCCACUAAAGAAGUUGGUGUUGCAUAUUGUUAUGUUAGAAAUGCUGACACUUUUCUAUUCUUUCUUACUUUGAGUUUGUCGCGAACUGUACACCCUUAUAAUCCACUGAAGACUAUUGAUUA